UACGUAGGGUGCAAGCGUUGUCCGGAAUUAUUGGGCGUAAAGAGCGUGUAGGCGGCCCGACAAGUCCGCUGUGAAAGUUCAGGGCUCAACCCUGGAAUGCCGGUGGAUACUGCCGGGCUAGAGUCCGGAAGAGGAGAGUGGAAUUCCUGGUGUAGCGGUGAAAUGCGCAGAUAUCAGGAAGAACACCCGUGGCGAAGGCGACUCUUUGGCCUAUAACUGACGCUGAGGCGCGAAAGCGUGGGGAGCAAACAGG
rnacentral:misc_RNA from 1 species